rnacentral:pre_miRNA from 1 species
CUUAUACUCCCUCCGUCCCAAAAUUCUUGUCUUAGAUUAGCCUAGAGACGGAUGUAUCUAAUACCAAAACAUGACUUGAUACAUCCGUAUUUAGACAAAUCUAAGACAAGAAUUUUGGGACGGAGGGAGUAUUUC